rnacentral:lncRNA from 1 species
GAGGGAGUUCCAAUGAAGGUAACCGGAUGCUUCCUGUCUGCAAGAGCAGACCAGAGACCCACUGGAAAUGCUUUCCCGGAACACCAGACCCACUGUGUGUUCCAUGCUCCUGAGAAGUGGAUGGUAAGCCAACGGAACACCAGACCCACUGUGUGUUCCAUGCUCCUGAGAAGUGGAUGGUAAGCCAACGGAACACCAGACCCACUGUGUGUUCCAUGCUCCUGAGAAGUGGAUGGUAAGCCAAGCCUCUACAGCUAGACGAGGAAGUAUGUUGCAGUAGGUGACUCUACAAGUGGACACGUGAACACUUCACCACACCUUUCUACCUCCCUAGAGCAUCUUCAUUCUCAUUCCCAACUCUUAAGAACAUGCACUUGUGUGUGUGUGUGUGUGUGUGUGUGUGUGUGUACAGGCUACUAGCUUGAGGUUCCUGCCUCAAGGGAAGGGCACAUUCCUGUCACUCAACACUACGGGAAUCCCAGUCCUGAAGUGACUUUAAGAUCUCACAGCUGCCAACAGGCCUCUGAGGCCUUGGGGUGGAGGGAAACCAAGAGCUCUAACACAGUGUGACCAGGCCCUUCCACAUGAAGCUGGACGGCCUAUGCCACACACAGGCAUAUUGAGGGCUCUGAGCGGUGGCCUGGGGAGUGGCCACCCGCAUCCUACAGAGCCCUGCAGUGGUUAUGUUUGAGUCUGGGAAAUCUGCUGGGGACAAAUAACCCAUGCACACAGGAGCACACAAGAGAAGUGGAGUGGGAGGAUCCAGGUCCUAGUCCAGCUCUGCCCUAGCAGGGCCUCCAAGGCAUGCACAGGUCCAGUGAGCUCCUACGGGGCAGGCAGAGCAGGAUGGCUGCUGAUGAGAGAACAAGGAGAGGCCCUGUGUGCCUCAGCUGCACGCUGC